rnacentral:lncRNA from 1 species
GUUAUCCCACUUUCAAAUCAGGUUAUCCCAGUUUUCCUGUUUGGGAAUAUGACAACUUCUUUGUCAUUCUAAUCAAACCAGGAUGAAUCGCGAUGUGAAAUUCUGUCUUUGGAUUCAUAAAAUAGUGGAGAAUCAACUUGAAGUUGAAUAAAUCUCAUAGGAGUUAGGAUGAAGAAGUUAUCCCACAUUCAAAUCAGGUGAUCCCAGUUUUCCUGUUUGGGAAUAUGACAACUUCUUUCUCAUUCUAAUCAAACCAGGAUGAAUCGCGAUGUGAGAAGCUGUAUUUGGAUCCAUAAAGUAGUGAAGAAUCACCUUGAAGUUGAAUAAAUCUCAUAGGAGUUAGGAUGAAGAAGUUAUCCCACUUUCAAAUCAGGCGAUCCCAGUUUUCCUGUUUGGGAAUAUGACAACUUCUUUUUCAUUCUAAUCAAAC